GCAAGUCGAGGGGUAACAGGGAUUGCUUGCAAUCCGCUGACGACCGGCGCACGGGUGCGUAACGCGUAUGCAACCUACCUUCUACAGGGGGAUAGCCCAGAGAAAUUUGGAAUAAUACCCCAUACGAUCUUUACUUGGCAUCGAGUAAAGAAGAAAACUUCGGUGGUAGAAGAUGGGCAUGCGUCCUAUUAGUUAGUUGGUGAGGUAACGGCUUACCAAGACAUCGAUAGGUAGGGGUCCUGAGAGGGAGAUC
rnacentral:rRNA from 1 species